CCUACGGGUGGCAGCAGUGAGGAAUAUUGGUCAAUGGUCGGGAGACUGAACCAGCCAAGCCGCGUGAGGGAGGAAGGUACAGCGUAUCGUAAACCUCUUUUGUCAGGGAACAAAGGCGGGGACGUGUCCCCGGAUGAGUGUACCUGAAGAAAAAGCAUCGGCUAACUCCGUGCCAGCAGCCGCGGUAAUACGGAGGAUGCGAGCGUUAUCCGGAUUUAUUGGGUUUAAAGGGGGCGCAGGCGGUCUGUUAAGUCAGCGGUUAAAGUCCGGGGCUCAACCCCCGCCCCGCGGUUGAAACUGGCAGUCGCGAGUUGGAGAGAAGUAGGCGGAAUGCGCGGUGUAGCGGUGAGAUGCAUAGAGAUCGCGCAGAACUCCGAUUGCGAAGGCAGCAUGCCGGCUCCACACUGACGCUGAGGCACGAAAGCGUGGGUAUCGAACAGGAUUAGAUACCCUUGUAGUC
rnacentral:rRNA from 1 species